UGGCUGUCGUCAGCUCGUGUCGUGAGAUGUUGGGUUAAGUCCCGCAACGAGCGCAACCCUUGUCCUGUGUUGCCAUGCCCGAAAGGGCGGAACUCGCAGGAGACCGCCAGCGAUAAGCUGGAGGAAGGUGGGGAUGACGUCAAGUCCUCAUGGCCUUUAUGUCCAGGGCUACACACGUGCUACAAUGGACGGUACAAUACGUCGCUAACCCGCGAGGGGGAGCCAAUCGCAAAAAACCGUUCUCAGUUCGGAUUGCAGGCUGCAACUCGCCUGCAUGAAGCUGGAAUCGCUAGUAAUGGCAGAUCAGCACGCUGCCGUGAAUACGUUCCCGGGCCUUGUACACACCGCCCGUCACAUCACGAAAGUGGAUUGUACUAGAAGUCUGCGCGCUGACCCGCAAGGGGAGCAGCGGCCCAAGGUAUGAUUCAUGAUUGGGGUGAAGUCGUAACAAGGUAGCCGUAGGAGAACCUGCGGCUGGAUCACCUCCUUUCUAAGAGAGAACGUGGGUGGAGUUUCUGAAAAAGGUCUCUGUUGAGUGUACACGGGGCCGAAGUAGGAAACAGUCGUUCCACUCCAUGAACCACUGUCUGAGCUUAGGCAAAGGCAGUGAGCCCGCUCUGGGUCUCCACUUAGAGAAUAUGAGAGUUUUUCUAAAACGGUCAGGGGCUGGUCUCCUGAUCUCUGUGUCCAACUGGCCUCGAUUAGAUUUUCGAUUAGGGGCUGUAGCUCAGCUGGGAGAGCGCCUGAUUUGCACUCAGGAGGUCGCCGGUUCGAUCCCGACCAGCUCCACCAGUGGUAGCGCUGGCGGUCUUUCAGCCGGUGAUUUUUGCACCUGGGCCCGUAGCUCAGAUGGCUAGAGCGCACCCCUGACAAGGGUGAGGUCGGUGGUUCAAUUCCACCUGGGCCCACCAAACCAAAAAACAUCAGCACUUUGUAGGGGCAGGAUAGCAUCCUGCCCGUCCUACUGAUUGCUGAAGCAAUCGAGAUCUUUGACAACUGAAUAUUUGACGGGCAUUAGAAAACACAAGUAUGUAAGCGCAAAGAAAGUAGCGUCCAAUGUGUUGUGUGUGAAGUAGAUUUUAUGGUCAAGCUACUAAGAGCGUGUGUGUGGAUGCCUUGGCGCAAGUAGGCGAUGAAGGACGCGAUCAGCUGCGAAAAGCUUCGGGGAGCCGCUAAUAGGCUGUGAUCCGGAGAUAUCCGAAUGGGGAAACCCGG
rnacentral:sRNA from 1 species